AUACGUAGGGUGCGAGCGUUGUCCGGAAUUAUUGGGCGUAAAGAGCUCGUAGGCGGCUUGUCACGUCGGGUGUGAAAGCCCGGGGCUUAACCCCGGGUCUGCAUUCGAUACGGGCAGGCUAGAGUUCGGUAGGGGAGAUCGGAAUUCCUGGUGUAGCGGUGAAAUGCGCAGAUAUCAGGAGGAACACCGGUGGCGAAGGCGGAUCUCUGGGCCGAUACUGACGCUGAGGAGCGAAAGCGUGGGGAGCGAACAGGAUUAGAUACCCUGGUAGUCCACGCCGUAAACGUUGGGCACUAGGUGUGGGGCUCAUUCCACGGGUUCCGUGCCGCAGCUAACGCAUUAAGUGCCCCGCCUGGGGAGUACGGCCGCAAGGCUAAA
rnacentral:rRNA from 1 species